rnacentral:lncRNA from 1 species
GCCAAGUGUGGUGGCACGCACCUGUAAUCCCAGCUACUUGGGAGGCUGAGGCACGAGAAUUGCUUGAACCUGGGAGGCGGAGGAUCCCUUGAGCUCAGGUGCUCAAGGUUGCAGUGAGCUAUGAUGGUACCACUGUACUCCAGCCUGGGUGACAGAGUGAGAAUCUGUCUCAAAAAAAAAAAAGAGAGAGAGAGAAAGAGAGAGUCUCACUCUGUCACCCAGGCUGGAGUGCAGUGGUACAGCGAUACCAUCAUAGCUCACUGAAGCCUUGGGCACCUGAACUCAAGGGAUCCUCCUGC